rnacentral:lncRNA from 10 species
ACCAAUACUGUGUUGUACGUAAACACCAUUAGACCCCAUUACAUUAUUCUGUUUUUCAAGUUCCUGAAUUAGAAAGUUGAAUUUACUAACAUUGGCCACCAGGAGUUCUCUCUGAGGAAAAGAACAAAAAACUGGCAGUAAAAUGCAAAUGUUUUAAUAAAAGAUGUUGGGAAACAGCUACAUUGUCCCUUUAAAAACCCAUGUUCCAUGUAUUCAUAGUAUAGUAAAAUAAAAAGACAAAAUUAUUUCUUGUAAAUGCGUAUGACAUACUUGUUUCUAAAUAAUAAUCUCUGAAAAUGGUCCUUUCUGCAACGUAUGCCUUGAGUCAUUUGAUGUAAUUCAUAAUAAAUUAAAUCAUGACACUUUAAGUAGAACUUCCACUGUAAGGUUCUAAACAUUUCCCACGUUUACAUACACAUACCAUUAGGCAUAAUUCUCCUAUUUCUUUAUGCACUUGCUUAUAACUUAUCUUUCCUUCCUUGACCCACAAGCCUCUGCUUACAUUGUAACAUUAUGUUCUAAUUGUUAAUAACCCAAAGAAUACAUAAUUUAGUGACAUUCUUCCUACUGCCUACCCACUGUUUUGACAUUUUACCCUUGUUUUUUAAUAAGGUAGUUGGAUUUUUCUUUCCUUUUCUUGAUCUAUUUAACCACUCACCUGAUCACCCUUAACCACCAAAGGCACUAUAUUUAAGUUAGGGCCUGGCCGUCUGAACUACUUUUAUUCAUAAUUGGCAUAAGGAUGUAUUCCAUGAGAUUGCAUCUUGUUAGACAGCUCACUGCUAGCCAAACCAAUAUAAACUCUUGGUAAGCAAGUACUCAGGAAAAAAAAAAAAAAAGCCAGAGAAUUGCAAGUUAAACCAUGAAGUCCAUUCCUUUACAUUUUAAUACUGAGCAUCUUUCUCAUCUAUAUUUACAUGUCCUGCCUUAGUAAACAUCACAUAUUGAACAUAAUCAACCCUCUUCUCUAAGACAUAAGAUUGUUAUCAAGUUAAAAAUGUAUAUUUUGGGCCGGGCACAUGCUAAACAAUUAAGUGCCUCUGC